ACGUAGGGUGCAAGCGUUGUCCGGAUUUAUUGGGCGUAAAGAGCUCGUAGGCGGUUAGUCACGUCGGAUGUGAAGACCCGGAGCUUAACUCCGGGCCUGCAUUCGAUACGGGCUGACUAGAGUGUUGUAGGGGAGACUGGAACUCCUGGUGUAGCGGUGAAAUGCGCAGAUAUCAGGAAGAACACCGGUGGCGAAGGCGGGUCUCUGGGCAACUACUGACGCUGAGGAGCGAAAGCGUGGGGAGCAAACAG
rnacentral:rRNA from 1 species